CAAAACUCAUUAUUAGAUGUCGCCAGGGUCACCGAUGUUGUUCUUUCAUGGUGAAACGAGGCGAAAUGAGCGAAACAAAUUGUUGCUAAUUUAUACUUAUUCCUGUGAUUUCAAAUACCAAUUUAACUUCGUAUCUUAAUAUAUGCAUACUGUCAGUUCCAACAAGUUGACUUAGUGCUCAGUCAAUUUCCAUCCAUUAGAUCCUCAUGCUGUCAAAAGCCUAAAACUCAUGUUUGAAGAGCACAUAUAGUGGAAUAUAAAUGUGCCGAGAUAAGGAUCUUUUCUGAAUCUCGCAAUUUUGGUGGCGUACCCUGUAACAGCAUGUUUGUUGUUAUGGCUGUUUUUAUUUUGGUUUAGAAGGCAACCCAGCUAAGAGAUAGAGCAAGCAGUUUCUUUGUGGAAUCGUGUGGUCCUAGCACGGAUAUUCUUGAGCCACGUUACGCUGGCUUUCGUCCAUGACCAUUGACCAACGUUCUGCUCCAUCCUUAUCUUCCCGACGUAAGCUCAUCCAGAUUCUGCUUCAUCGCUUCGUACACCAAAAGACAACUUGUCAUACUUCACUAACGAGUUGGAACACUUCAGUGCAUCAGUGGUCGCUUCCGUGCCGCUGUUACACAUUUGCAGUCACUCACCACGGGAUUAUGCCCAGGUAACGCAGAAGAUG